AUUGAACGCUGGCGGCAGGCUUAACACAUGCAAGUCGAGCGGUAACAGAGAGAAGCUUGCUUCUCUGCUGACGAGCGGCGGACGGGUGAGUAAUGCCUAGGAAUCUGCCUAGUAGUGGGGGAUAACUUGCCGAAAGGUAAGCUAAUACCGCAUACGUCCUACGGGAGAAAGGAGGGGACCUUCGGGCCUUUCGCUAUUAGAUGAGCCUAGGUCGGAUUAGUUAGUUGGUGAGGUAAUGGCUCACCAAGACCGCGAUCCGUAACUGGUCUGAGAGGAUGAUCAGUCACACUGGAACUAAGACACGGUCCAGACUCCUACGGGAGGCAGCAGUGGGGAAUAUUGGACAAUGGGGGGAACCCUGAUCCAGCCAUGCCGCUUGUGUGAAGAAGGUCUUAGGAUUGUAAAGCACUUUAAGUUGGGAGGAAGAGCAGUUAACUAAUAUUUGACUGUUUUGACGUUACCGACAGAAUAAGCACCGGCUAACUUCGUGCCAGCAGCCGCCGUAA
rnacentral:rRNA from 1 species